CACGCAGAUUACUUCAUAUUCCACAUGCAUGGAUAAUUCUUGGAACAGUCUUGCAAUAUUAAUUUUAUCACAGGUUGCCCAAAAUUACACGGAAGAGAUUUUCAACAGUGAAACUUUUGCUUUGAUAACAAUGGAACUUUGUAUACACUACCUUUUUAAAAUAUUUCACAGGUAAUUGAUUUCCUGGGACUAAUAACUUAUUGUAGUUUCUUACUUGAUUGACAUUUUUGCAAAGGAUAUAUACACGAUGUAGCACAAUAAUGGAGUAAUUUACUGUAUUGAGACCAAUGUGUGUCUGUUGUGUAUGAUUCUAGAUAACUGGUUUUUAUUUGAGCUACUCUCAUUUUUUGCAUAUUUAAGGAUGAUUAUAUUACUAACUUGCUCUAAUUAUGAUUACUCAGGAUGACCUAGCAUCCAAAAUCAAAGGUUCCGACAUUAGUUUUAGUUGACUACAAGUGUGUUAAGGAGGCUUCAACUUAGGUUUACUUAUCAGAGGCUAUUGACAUGGUCAACUGUACAACCUUUGUUAAAGAGAAUAAGUGACAAUGAUGUUGUGCUAGAUGAUAUAUUUAGAAUUUUCAUGGUAGAUGAUUCCAUCAGUUUAUAGCAAGAGAUCAUUGAGGAUGAGAGCUUCCAAUCAAAAGGAAAAUAAAAUAGCUUCAAAGUGUCACCAGUUAUGAAGCUCAAUUUAAAGAUUUCCUCAUGUAACUGUACUGGAAGAUGACUUGGUUUUUUAGUUAGAUAUAUUUAGUGUUACUACUUGUGAAUUGGCCUUUGAUUCAUUUUGGUUGUUGCUGUUUUUAGUUAACAGAGUUAGGUUGGAACAUAUUUUAGUAAAUUGAUGUUGGUAA